rnacentral:tRNA from 1 species
GCCGGGAUAGGGUAGUGGUUUAUCCUGAGGGACUGUGGAUCCCUCGAGCUGGGUUCGAAUCCCGGUCCCGGCC